GACGAACGCUGGCGGCGUGCUUAACACAUGCAAGUCGAACGGAAAGGCCCUGCUUUUGUGGGGUGCUCGAGUGGCGAACGGGUGAGUAACACGUGAGUAACCUGCCCUUGACUUUGGGAUAACUUCAGGAAACUGGGGCUAAUACCGGAUAGGAGCUCCUGCUGCAUGGUGGGGGUUGGAAAGUUUCGGCGGUUGGGGAUGGACUCGCGGCUUAUCAGCUUGUUGGUGGGGUAGUGGCUUACCAAGGCUUUGACGGGUAGCCGGCCUGGGAGGGUGACCGGCGACAUUGGGACUGAGAUACGGCCCAGAGUCCUACGGGAGGCAGCAGUGGGGAAUAUUGCACAAUGGGCGGAAGCCUGAUGAAGCAACGCCGCGUGCGGGAUGACGGCCUUCGGGUUGUAAACCGCUUUCGCCUGUGACGAAGCGUGAGUGACGGUAAUGGGUAAAGAAGCACCGGCUAACUACGUG
rnacentral:rRNA from 1 species